GACGAACGCUGGCGGCGUGCCUAAUACAUGCAAGUUGAGCGCUGAAGGUUGGUACUUGUACCAACUGGAUGAGCAGCGAACGGGUGAGUAACGCGUGGGGAAUCUGCCUUUGAGCGGGGGACAACAUUUGGAAACGAAUGCUAAUACCGCAUAAAAACUUUAAACACAAGUUUUAAGUUUGAAAGAUGCAAUUGCAUCACUCAAAGAUGAUCCCGCGUUGUAUUAGCUAGUUGGUGAGGUAAAGGCUCACCAAGGCGAUGAUACAUAGCCGACCUGGGAGGGUGAUCGGCCACAUUGGGACUGAGACACGGCCCAAACUCCUACGGGAGGCAGCAGUAGGGAAUCUUCGGCAAUGGACGAAAGUCUGACCGAGCAACGCCGCGUGAGUGAAGAAGGUUUUCGGAUCGUAAAACUCGGUUGGUAGAGAAGAACGUUGGUGAGAGUGGAAAGCUCAUCAAGUGACGGUAACUACCCAGAAAGGGACGGCUAACUACGUG
rnacentral:rRNA from 1 species